CCGGCCCCGCCACGGCCCAUUCCUCACGGGGUGUCCGGCUGGCCGCCGGCAGAGGCUGCUCGCCCCUGGGACUUCCCGUCCCGCGCGAGACGCCCGCCCAGACCACUUCAUUGAGAUGGGAAGAUGAUGACCCCUUGUUGCCGAAGAUAGGCUGCCAGUACUUCGAGAAGACAUGCGGUUCUGAAGGAAAUCCGAAAGGGAGAACUAUGCACUGAAAAUGAUUAUCCCCCACCGUGAAAUGGAGCUGAACUUCUUGAUUGGUGGCUACCCUUUUAAAAAGCUUUUGGAACUGUUUCAAGUCGUCUGUAGAAUUUGAGACUUCGGGUACUACAGCCUCAUUGAGAGAUGGGGACAGAUUAUCCUCAAAGGUCUGCUGGGCUUGUGCAACACUGUCCUCAUCAGGAAUUUGACCCUCUUCCAAUUCUUCUGAAGCCGGAAGGGUGUGGAUGGAGAGGUUGGUGGAAGCCUCGUUGGUGAUGCAGAUGUGCUUCUGGAGUGGUGUCUGCCGAGCCCCCGUUAGUCCCAUAGUGCCCACAGAGGUCAGUAAUAUGGAGGGGGAUAUUGCCAGUCCAGGUACCAAUGAAAAUAGUGAAGUCUUUCAUGGUAGUGUUGAAAUUGACAAGAUGUGCCUGGAGAUGAAUGCUGUGAGAAGAAAACACUCCUCUGAUCAUAUUCAGUAACUCAGCGCUUUC